GACGAACGCUGGCGGCGUGCUUAACACAUGCAAGUCGAACGCUGAAGCUCAGCUUUUGUUGGGUGGAUGAGUGGCGAACGGGUGAGUAACACGUGAGUAACCUGCCCCCUUCUUUGGGAUAACGCCCGGAAACGGGUGCUAAUACUGGAUAUUCACUGGUCUUCGCAUGGGGGUUGGUGGAAAGGGUUUUUCUGGUGGGGGAUGGGCUCGCGGCCUAUCAGCUUGUUGGUGGGGUGAUGGCCUACCAAGGCUUUGACGGGUAGCCGGCCUGAGAGGGUGACCGGUCACAUUGGGACUGAGAUACCGCCCAGACUCGUACGGGUGGCAGCAGUGGGGAAUAAUGCACAAUGGGCGCAAGCCUGAUGCAGCGACGCCGCGUGAGGGAUGGAGGCCUUCGGGUUGUGAACCUCUUUCGCUCAUGGUCAAGCCGCAACAAUGGUUGUGGUGAGGGUAGUGGGUAAAGAAGCGCCGGCUAACUACGUG
rnacentral:rRNA from 1 species